CCUACGGGAGGCAGCAGUGGGGAAUAUUGGACAAUGGGCGAAAGCCUGAUCCAGCAAUGCCGCGUGAGUGAUGAAGGCCUUCGGGUCGUAAAGCUCUUUUACCAGGGAUGAUAAUGACAGUACCUGGAGAAUAAGCUCCGGCUAACUCCGUGCCAGCAGCCGCGGUAAUACGGAGGGAGCUAGCGUUGUUCGGAAUUACUGGGCGUAAAGAGUACGUAGGCGGUUAUUCAAGUCAGAGGUGAAAGCCCGGGGCUCAGCCCCGGAACUGCCUUUGAAACUAGAUAACUAGAGUCUUGGAGAGGCUAGUGGAAUUCCGAGUGUAGAGGUGAAAUUCGUAGAUAUUCGGAAGAACACCAGUGGCGAAGGCGACUAACUGGACAAGUACUGACGCUGAGGUACGAAAGCGUGGGGAGCAAACAGGAUUAGAUACCCUGGUAGUCCACGCCGUAAACGAUGAUAACUAGUUGUUCGGUCACUUGGUGACUGAGUGACGCAGCUAACGCAUUAAGUUAUCCGCCUGGGGAGUACGGUCGCAAGAUUAAAACUCAAAUGAUAGUAAGGCGUGAGAGUGCGAGACGACACGAGGAGGAGG
rnacentral:rRNA from 1 species